AACGUCGAUAUUCGACGUCAUAAACACGAUCAACUUUGGUGUUUAUGAUGUCGAUAUUCGAAGACAUAAACACGACCAACUUUUGUGUUUAUGACGUCGAUAUUCGACGUUGUUUAUAACGUCAAUAUUGGAGGCGAUAAACACGAUCAACCUUGGUGUUUAUAACGUCUGUAUUUGACGUCACAAACACGAUGAACUUAGGUGUUAAUAUGUCGAUAUUCGACGUCAUAAACACAAUCAACUUUGGCGUUGAUGAGGUCGCUAUUCGACGUCAUAAACACAAUCAACUUUGGUGUUUAUGACAUCGAUAUUCGACGUC
rnacentral:miRNA from 1 species